AACAAAACAAGCUAUGACCCUUAGUAACCAAAACCAUGUGAAACGGCGCCAAGCUCACCAAUUAGCUAGAGUAGAAAAUAGGAGGCAACCAACGUCAACAACGGCUAAUCGCAGACAACCUCCACGGUGCCCAGAUCACCAGUGAGUGAAUCCCCCUCAAAAGUCACCUCAUGUCGGCCAAGAUCCAUAACCAAACAAACAGUGUGAGAGCAUUCCAAAGCCUCCGCAGCAAAAGCCGUAGGAACAUGCGCGGUAAGCACUGAAUGGGAUCUGAGUACUUUGCCCAAAUUGUCCCUAAUAACUAUUAUUGUAAAGGACAACAUGGAAGUCGCAUUGAAGGCAGCAUCAAAAUUCACUUUCAGCAUAGUGCCUUCUGGAGGCCACCAACGUUUAACCCCAAUAAGGCGAUCAGAGCGCAAAUGUUACUUUCAUUUACUAGAGGACUUGUUUUGCAAUGCUACAGUCACAGAAUACAUGGCUUACAGUCUCUUCUUUUUCUCCGCAAAUCGGGCAUAAGGUAUCAUAUCUCAAGUUUUGGAUUUUUAAAUUACUAAAUGUAGGCAAAAAAUUAUUUCUUAUUCUCCAUAGAUUAAUCCUAACCUUGCUGGGUAUUUUUAGGCUCCAAAUUUUCUAAAGUAAUUUCCAGGUAUAUUCUGAUUUGUUGAAAAUUCAUUUCCUAGCAAGUUAAGUUAAUCUAUAAUACCUAUUUUGUAACAAUUUUUCACCGUGUAUUCUCCCAAUCUGUCACCUCUCCAUACCCAAAUAUCGGAUUGUAAAAGGUUCCCUAAUGGGAUUGCUUCAAUCUUUUAGCUUGGUCAUCAGGGAAAAGUUCUCUCAGAAUCUCCUCCUCCCAGGAAACCAUGCAUCGUUCCAAAUAUUUACUGAUUUUCUAUCCCCAAUACUCCAGACCAUUCCUGAUUCCAGCAUCCUCCGAGUGUUCCAUAUGCUUCUUCAGGUAAACAAAGGGUAAGCCCGUAAUUCAGAUUUCAAAAAAUCGCAACGUGGGUAGUAUUUAGCUUUCAUAACUUCCGCGAGUAAACCUUUGGAAUUGGUAAUUAGCUUCCAUCCUUGCUUUGCCAACAAGGUAUUAUUAAAAAAUGAUAAAUCCCUAAAUCCAAUCCCCCAUUAUGCCUUGGGAAUACACAAUUUCUCCCACUUGCACCAAUGAAUACCCUUAUAUGUUUUCAAAUUUUGCCACCAGAAUUUGUACAUAAUAUUCUCUAAAUCUUGGCAUAGAGAAACUGGUAAUUUAAAACAUUGCAUAGCAUAUGUAGGAAUGACCUGUAAUACGGAUUUAAUAAAAACCUCGUUUCCUUCAAUAGAUAAGUUACGAAUGCUCCAAAAUUUCACUUUUGUUAAGAAUUUUUUUUUAAUUUCCACAAAAGCAUUUUUCUUUUUCCUUCCCACCAUCAUCGAUAAUCCAAGGUACUUCUCAAGAUUAUUGGCUAUUCGAACCCCCAACGAUUUCUUUAUCUGCAACUUAACCCCCUCAUGGACAUUAUUACUAAAAUAAAUUAAAGAUUUUUCAAAGUUUACCAACUGUCCCAAAAUUUGUUCAUAGGUAUUAAUGAUGGAUCUGAUGGCUAAAGCACCUUCCAUCGUUGCUCUACCAAAUAAAAUAUUGUCAUCGGCCAAAAAAAGAUGAUUGGGAAUAUCCUUGUCAUAAUAAAAAAGAUAAGGGCUUAAAGAAUCUCCUUGUUGUAAUCCUCCAGUGGGAUUGAACUCCACCCCUCUUUCUCCGAAGUACGAUACACUCUGGAUGCAAUGCAUGAUUAAAAUUAUCCACUUCUCACAAAAACCUAGCUUUCUCAUCAUUUUUUCAACGAAACCCCACUCAACCCUAUCAUAACAUUUGCUCAUGUCAAGCUUUAGAGCAAAAUUUCCCAAUCUAGAUAUUUUCUUUCUAAAACCAUGUAAAAUUUCAUAAGCCACCAAUAUGUUGUCUGUAAUCUGUCUUUCGGGAACAAUUGUGCCUUGUGCAUCAUCAAUAGAAAAACAAAUAGCCUUUCUGAAUCUGUUAACUAUGGCUUUUGAGAUUAUUUUGUAAAGUACAUUGCAAAGACUAAUUGUUCUAAAUUGUCCUAUAUUUUUUGGUGUUUGUACUUUAGGGAUUAGAAUAAUGUUAGUAUCAUUAAUAGCACCAAUAUCUUUCUGAUUGUUCAUCUAAACUGAAUCUCGACACCUCUUUUCCUAUAAUAUGCCAGAAUUUUUGAAAAAACAUAGCAGGGAAUCCAUCAUUACUUGAGGCUUUAAGAGGCGUCAUUGAUCUAAGCGCUUCACAAAUAUCUUAUUCCUUAA